rnacentral:rRNA from 1 species
UGGGGAAUCUUGGACAAUGGGCGAAAGCCUGAUCCAGCGACGCCGCGUGAAGGAAGGAGUCCCUCGGGAUGUAAACUUCUGAACUAGUCGAAUAAAGAGGUAGCGGACACGCUACAAGAGAAGGUAGGCUAGGAAAAGUCCCGGCUAACUACGUGCCAGCAGCCGCGGUAAGACGUAGGGGGCGAGCGUUGCCCGGAAUCACUGGGUGUAAAGGGGACGUAGGCGGUAAACCAAGUCAUAUGUGAAAACCAUUUGCUCAACGAAAGGCUUGCGUAUGAAACUGGAGAACUUGAGUGUAGCAGAGGUAGACGGAAUUACCUGAGUAGGGGUGAAAUCCGCAGAUACAGGUAAGAAGGCCGGUGGAGAAGUCGGUCUACUGGGCUACAACUGACGCUGAGGUCCGAAAGCUAGGGGAGCAAACA